UGGGGAAUUUUGCACAAUGGGGGAAACCCUGAUGCAGCGACGCCGCGUGAUUUAGAAGGCCUUCGGGUUGUAAAAAUCUUUUUUACGGGAUGAAAAUGACAGUACCGUAAGAAUAAGGUCCGGCUAAAUACGUGCCAGCAGCCGCGGUAAUACGUAUGGACCGAGCGUUGUCCGGAAUCAUUGGGCGUAAAGGGUACGUAGGCGGCCUAGUAAGUUAGAAGUGAAAUAAUAUAGCUCAACUAUAUAAAGCUUUUAAAACUGCUAGGCUUGAGAGAUGGAAGGGGAAGUGGAAUUCCUAGUGUAGCGGUGAGAUGCGCAGAUAUUAGGAAGAAUACCGGUGGCGAAGGCGACUUUCUGGUCAUCAUCUGACGCUGAGGUACGAAAGCGUGGGUAGCAAACAGG
rnacentral:rRNA from 1 species